CUACGGGUUGCUGCAGUGAGGAAUAUUGCACAAUGGGGGGAACCCUGAUGCAGCAACGCCGCGUGGAGGAUGACGCAUUUCGGUGUGUAAACUCCUUUUAUAUGUCAAGAAAAUGGCGGUAGCAUAUGAAUAAGCACCGGCUAACUCCGUGCCAGCAGCCGCGGUAAUACGGAGGGUGCAAGCGUUACUCGGAAUCACUGGGCGUAAAGGACGCGUAGGCGGGUUGGAAAGUCAGGUGGGAAAUCCUACAGCUUAACUGUAGAACGGCACUUGAAACUUCUAAUCUAGAGUAUGGGAGGGGGAGAUGGAAUUAGUGGUGUAGGGGUAAAAUCCGUAGAUAUCACUAGGAAUACCUAAAGCGAAGGCGAUCUCCUGGAACAUUACUGACGCUAAGGCGUGAAAGCGUGGGGAGCAAACAGGAUUAGAUACCCUAGUAGUC
rnacentral:rRNA from 1 species